GGGGCAUAAAAAGUGUUGAUAUAUUUACAAAAAUGACAUGGAAGCAGCCCAAUAUAUUUUUCCCAACUAAACAAACUGAUAAUAAACGUUUUUCCUCGAAGCAAAACGAUUUCGAUAAGAUGCUAGAUUCAUCACAAACAUGUAAAAGCAUAACGGGCUUAAUCCUUAGAUAACCAUGCUGAUAUCUCAGUUUCCAGAGAUGAGCAGUUCCCUUAUUAACCUACAGGUACUCCUUUUUUACACUGCUUGGGAUUACACAUCAUACAGGAUGCUGCUAUCAUAGCAUUCAUGUUUAACCAGGGUUUAACUGUCGGCUACCUCCGAAGCAAACCCAAUGCUGAAACCAAAGGUAAUACAGGUCAGCAACUCCUUGCCAUCUUCACCCAACAACUUCAUUGUAAGCGUGUACGAACCCGGUGGAGUGAGGGAUGGUAGUGUCUGCUGAUGGGAUAUCACGAAAUCCCCUGUUGCGAUUGGGCAAGAUGUCUUUGUGCAAACGUCAUCUGUUUCCUCGUGAACAUGAAUUAUCCAGUACGCAACAUCGAUAACUAGUUUCCCCUUGGAUAUGGACUCCCCAGCAGAUGCGGAAAUACUGAAGCUCACAGGCACGCCUCUUUUGAUCGGUAGCGGCGAGAUCUCGAUCCCCUUCACCUUGACCGGGUAGUGCGCCCUCUUAUUGCAGUACUCAAAAUCCAACGAAUACGCGGAGGAGAGGAGCGCCGUCACGACGAGGGUGAGGAGGAGAGUGCGGGGACCGACUGGGACAGCCAUCGUUGCUCCCGAGUUCUAGGGCUUGAAGAGCAGUGGAGACGAAGAAGA
rnacentral:misc_RNA from 1 species